rnacentral:lncRNA from 1 species
UUCACUCAGAUGCAUUCUUUCAUCUGAAAAUGCCAAAGUACUUCUAAUAAAUCUCAGUCUGGGAGACUGAAACAGACGUAUUGCAGAAAGAAAGAAUUAAGGUGACAUAAGAUAAAGGUUGGAAGCCUGAACCUGGUUUGAUGAAACAAGGGUAAUUGAUGGUUCAGAGUGGUCAAGCUGAUCAAGCCAAAGUGGCUGAGGGACAUAUUUUAAAUACAGGUUUUAUUAAAUUAAUUGGAUAGAGGACUUUGAAAUUUAGGGAAACCAGAGAUGGAGAUCUUGCAGCAAUGAAAGAAGGGAGAUGUGACAAAGUAUGACAGAUGUGAGCACAGAUGUUUCAGCAGAAAAAUAACAGAUUAAUAACAGCCUGGAGAAACAACAUGGAUGUGUAAGGGAAGGAAGAGGAAAAGAUAAUUCCUAGCUCAUAACCAUAGAAAUAAAAAUAAGCUGAAAGAACAGAAUACAGUAACCUGAAUACUUGACUUUUCACAGUUAAUUUGCUGUUGCUUGUGCACUUAAGGAAGGACUGUGAAGACUCUAAUAAUUUUCCCACCCACUUUCAACUCCAAGAAAAAAGAUUAAAGCUGAAGAAAGAAAGACGUGGUUUAUUCUGGAAGAAAGGAAUUACAAAUGUCAGAAUAAUGAUGAGACAACAUCAACAAAGACCUGGAAGCAGCAGCUAACAGGUAUGCUCAGCUUGCAGGGAGCUGUGAUACAAAAUUCUCAAUGAAUUUGAAUGAAACAGUAAGUUUCAUUCUCCCUUAUCCCACAGCCUGGGAAGAUGUUUUCAUCAUAAUUUGUGCAGCGUAGCAUAACGAAGAUAUAUAUUUGAUAUAACUCUUUGUUUAUUUCUGUGGAAAGCAAUUUUUACUGAGAUGAAUUUCUCUGGAUUCUGCACCUGGGAUGGUGCAAUCCUUAUGAAGUGAGGGACAGGAGGCUGCAAUGCAGCCCUGAAGAAAGGGAAGUGCCAAGUUUGGUUGAUG